CCACUUAUUCAUCUUUAAAUGAUGAAUUUCAAACACUAGACUAUUUUUAAAAAAUAAAACUUUCACAACUUCCACAUUCCAAUAGCAACAACUUUUAGGUAAACACAUGAACAUAAUAAUAUCCAUUGUACUUAAUGAAUUUCAGGCAGUCAAAAGAAACAUCCAUAGUUGGAACUUCAAUAUCACAAGAAAACAUCUUGAGCGCCAACUCUUCUAAGAAGAUGGAGUUGAAAAGAGAUUGAGAUGCAAGGACAGAGAAGGCCCAUGCACAUUUCAAUUUCGAAUGGAUAAGAAGAUUUUUAACUUUCUGCGGGAUCAAGACGCAAGAGAUCCAUG
rnacentral:lncRNA from 1 species